GGACGGCGAUCGACGGUGGCGCCCGCUACGCGGCGAAUAAACGCGACAAGGCCGAUCCAGUUUGGCGACAUGUUAACUACUUACGGGCUGUAUACAUUUAAACGGAUAAACAGUGACUUUUAACGUGGAAAAUGGUGUUGUGAGCCUUCUUGGUGCCGCCCGUGUUAAUCCCGCGCCCUUUGCCCGUCCCCCGGUGGCGAAAAGUAGCGGCGCCGUGCCCCCCGCGCCCUCCCAAUUCGGGAUUUUCUGGGGACAGGGUGUACCUUAUAUAGGAUAUAAUAUAUAUCUCUCUCUCUAUAUUAUCGUCGGAGUUUCACACGCGCCCGUAAUUAAUAAUAAGAAAAACGGUUAAAAAAAUUGAGCCAGGUCUAUUUUUAAAGGCGCCUUUCUGUUGUCUACCAUUAAUAUAAUAUAUUAUAUCCGUCUCUACGGUCUACGCUAUUUUCGCUAUACGGCGGGGUAAAAAUAGCCUAUGUCGCCGUGAGGCCAUUUUUUUCCCAACCAAUAAUUUUGCACAACCGGGGACUGUUUUUUCGCAUAGAUUCCCGUUCUGGAACGAAAUUUACUCCCGCAAGGACUUUAAUCGAGCGACGUUUUCAAGGAGAACCCUCGUCUUAGGACAAACACAAAUCACAUAAAACCAGCAUGGUUUCGAUAUUCAAAACACAGUGAUGGCACUGGCGAGGUGAAAGAGCGCACAAAGAGGAUCCCCGCGGGCGGAUUUCAGUACAGGGAAAACUAACCACGGUGGCUUCAGGCCCGGAGUGUGGCCCCGUGGCCGACAAGGGGGCCGAUUGUUGGUGGUCCCCGUUGGCGGCCAUGGGCUGUUUCGGCGACCGGGACGCCGGCCAUGCCAACGAAGACAUCCGAUCCCAGAAGAGGAUCAGCGACCAGAUCAACAGGCAGUUGGCCAAAGAGAAACAGGUCUACCGGGCCACCCACAGGCUGCUCCUACUGGGCGCCGGGGAGUCCGGCAAGUCCACCAUAGUAAAACAGAUGCGGAUCCUCCACGUGGACGGGUUCAACGAGCGCGAACGCAAACAGAAAAUCGAGGAUAUCAAGAAGAAUAUCCGGGACGCGAUCAUCACCAUAACGGGGGCGAUGUCCACCCUCAGUCCGCCGGUCCAACUGGAAAAACCGGAAAAUCAGGUGCGGGUCGACUGGAUCCAGGACGUGGCCACCGGCCCGGACUUUGAUUAUCCGACCGAGUUUUACGAACACACCGAGGCUCUCUGGAAGGACAGGGGCGUCCAGAUGACGUACGAGCGAAGCAACGAAUACCAGCUAAUCGACUGCGCGAAAUACUUCCUGGACAAAGUAGACGUGAUCAAAAAACCCGAUUACACGCCCAGCGAGCAGGACAUCCUCAGAUGUCGGGUGCUCACCAGCGGCAUCUUCGAAACCCAGUUUCAGGUGGACAAAGUGAACUUCCAUAUGUUCGACGUCGGAGGGCAACGCGACGAGCGUCGCAAAUGGAUCCAGUGCUUCAACGACGUAACCGCGAUCAUUUUCGUCACCGCGUGCAGCUCCUAUAAUAUGGUUCUGCGCGAGGAUCCGACCCAGAACCGGCUCAAGGAGUCCCUCGAGCUGUUCAAGUCGAUCUGGAAUAACCGCUGGCUACGGACCAUUUCCGUCAUCUUGUUCCUGAACAAGCAGGAUCUGUUGACUGAGAAAAUCAAAGCCGGUAAAAGCAAGUUGGAAGACUACUUCGCGGAAUUCACGCGGUACCAGCCCCCCUCGGACGUGCCCAACGAGAAUAACGACGAUCCGGAAGUGAUUAGGGCCAAGUACUUUAUCCGCGACGAGUUCCUCCGCAUCAGCACAGCCUCCGGCGAGGGCAAACACUACUGCUACCCCCAUUUCACCUGCGCCGUCGACACGGAGAACAUCAAGCGGGUGUUCAACGACUGCCGCGACAUCAUCCAGCGCAUGCACCUGCGCCAAUACGAACUCUUAUAAUACCCCUGACCGACCAGGGGGGGCCAGCAGCAAAGAAAAUUAAUUAAAAACAUAAAUAAGUUUAAAUACAAAAAAAAAAUUAAAUUAACUAAAAAAUAAUAAAAUGAAAAUCGACGUGGACGGACGGACGGACGGACGGCGUUACGUCGGCGGCGGUUUAACGCGCGCUUCUUACGGGUAUUCGUACACAAAAGUCUUUACUAGUGAGGAUUCUUCAUAUAUUUCCUUCUCCCUCCUCCACUCCCUUGUUGUACAGGAUGUUUUGGGUAAUUCGUUAUGAAGGUUUUUCAGUUCAGUUUUUGUAUAUAGGAAGUUUUUCGCAUUAAAAUGGGGUCGUAACUUUAUUUUCAGCGGUCUGGAGUUUGCCUUGAACCAGCAGUACUCUUGAGUAAAUUUGUUAAUAAUUUUCGUUCUACUGCUCAGAUCAUAAUCAUUUUUGUCUUAAAAGUUUCUUUGGAGUGUUGGGCAGCUUUUAUUAAAAGAAUCACGAAAAUCCGUCGAGUAGAAGACUUUUUAUUUAAUUUUUUCUAAGUCGUGUCUAGGAAUCACUUGGGGAGGACCUCGCUCUUGAGUAAAUCGGUUGAUAACGUCACUUCUAGUACUCAGAUCGUAAUGGUGUCUACAUUAAAAGUUUCCCUGGAGUAUUCCGCAGCUUUUACUGAAAGAAUCAUUGAAAUGCGAGGAAUAGAAAGUUCUGUAUCCAAAUUUUCAGUGACUCGUGUCAGAAACUCCAAGGGCCAUAACUUCUUAAAAUAUACGCCUAACCUUCAUAAUUCUGAACUAUUCUGGAACAUCCUGUAUAACCCCUCUCACCCCCACCCCGAGGGACAUCCUGUAUAGAGAAAGAGAGAGCACUUUAGAAGAUGAUGCAAGAGCGCGUCCACUAUUCGCUAUUUAUUUUGUUUUAUCGGGGGGGAACCGCCCGCCGUCCCGAACGAAUAAUUGAUUAAUUAAAAAAAAAACAUAAUAACAAAAAAAAAACGCGAUUACUGCCAUAAUUUAAUGUACAUAAGAUGAUAUAGCCGCGCUUUUGCAUCGCCACCGGUACGACCCCCUCGGCCGCCCCCUUUUUCCUUCGCCGCCAAAAAUAUCCGUCAAUUAAGGGGGGGCGGGGGCUGAUAUAUUUGAGAGUCGCGAGGGAGAUGGGGAGGAGGAUUUCUUGACUUACGCACAUUGAAUUUUAUUGGAAAAAACCACCCUGCCAGAGCCAAUUUUCCCGUCGUCCUUGUCCGUAAUAGACUUUGAAUGGUUUCUUAGUUAGGAGGACCAGUUGAACUACUUUGGGGAAAACGGUGAACUUUUUAAUGUUGAUUUUUUUGGCACCUUAAACCGCCAAAUUUGACUUAAAAUAGUUCAAUGUUUACCCAAUUCUGGGUGAAAAAGGGUAAUUUUGUGUGACUUGAUGGUGCACAAAAGAGCCUGAAAAUUGGAGGAAAGUGUAGAUCGAAGGUUUUCGGGUCUUACAGUUUGAUUUUCAAUCGUACAAAGCUUUGAAAUAUCGGCAAUUAUGCGUUUUUAGUACAAUUUUUCAAAUUAGAUCCAUGAAUUUAUAGAAUUUUACGGAAAUUUAAAAGCAAACGUUUUUUUCCAGCUUUUACUAAAGGAAUUAAGAGAAUCCAUGGACUAGAACUUUUUUGAAUCCCUUUUUUAGUGUACUCUUGGGGAAAAUUGUUUAAUAACUUUACUUUUUGUACUCAGAUAUUAAUAUUUUUUAUUUUAAAGGUUUCUUUGGAAUAAUUCCAAGGUUUUAAUGAAAGAAUCAAGAAAAUCCAUCAAAUAGAAACUUUUUAAGCAAGUUUUUGUAAACCAUGUCUAGUUUUUACUUCAGGAGCCAGUACCCGUGGGUAAAUUGGUUAAUAACUUUGGUUCCAGUGCUCAGAUCGUAGUAAUUUUUGCUUUAAAAGCUUCCUUAGAAUAUUCGGCAGCUUUUAUUGAAAGAAUCGAGAAAAUCCAUGGUAUAGAAAAUUUUUUAUACAAAUUUUGUAAGUCAUGCUUAGUGUUUACUUGGGGGAACCAGUGCUUUUGGGGAAAAUUGUUCAAUAACUUUACUUUUUGUACUCGGAUAUUAAUAUUUUUUAUUUUAAAGGUUUCUUUGGAAUAAUUCCAAGGUUUUAAUGAAAGAAUCAAGAAAAUCCAUGGAAUAGAAACUUUUUUAUGCACGUUUUUGUAAAACGUGUUUAGUUUUUACUUCAGGAGCCAGUACCCGUGGGUAAAUUGGUUAAUAACUUUGGUUCCAAAGCUCAGAUCGUAGUAAUUUUUGCUUUAAAAGCUUCUUUGGGAUAUUCGGCAGCUUUUAUUGGAAGAAUCAAGAAAAUCUAUGGAAUAGAAAAAUUUUUAUACAAAUUUUUGUAAGUCAUGCUUAGUGUUUACUUGGGGGAACCAGUGCUUUUGGAGAAAAUUGUUCAAUAACUUUACUUUUUGUACUCAGAUAUUAAUAUUUUUUAUUUUAAAGGUUUCUUUGGAAUAAUUCCAAGCUUUUAAUGAAAGAAUCAAGAAAAUCCAUGGGAUAGAAACUUUUUUAUGCACUUUUUUGAAAACCAUGUCUAGUUUUUACUUCAGGAACCAGUACUCUUGGGUAAAUUAAUUAAUAACUUUGGUUCUACUGCUCAGAUCAUAUUAAUUUUUGUUUUGAAAGUUUCUAUAGAAUAUUCCCAAGCUUCUAUUGAAAGAAUCAAGAAAAUCCAUGGUAUAGAAAAUUUGUUAUUCAAGUUUUUGAAACUUAUGUCUAGAUUUUACUUCAGGAGCCAGUACUCUUGAGUAAUUUGGUUAAUAACUUUGCUUCUAGUGCUUAUAUUAUAAUAAUUUUUGUUUAAAAAGUUUCUUUGGAAUAUUCCCCAGCUUCUAAUAAAAGAACCUACAAAAACCUUUCAAUAGAAGUAUUUUUAUUCAAAAUUAGUUAAUAACUGUACUUCUAUUACUCAGAUCCUAAUAACUUUUACCUAAAAACGUUCUUCAGCUUACAAAAGAGAAAAAUAGAGCGAGUAUAUAGUAUAUAGUUGGUCCUCCUAGCAGAAAAAAACCUUCUCCCUCCGCCCCCCAAAAUCGCCAAUUUUCCCUCCUUGUUUCCUUCUAGCGCAGCCAGAGUGAGCGGACAGUGCAAUAAACGACAUUAAAAAAAAAAAGAGCGCGUCGACUUUAAUUUAAUUUCUUUCCUUUUCUUUUGUUGUGAUACGAAACGUGCAUUUUUUCCUCGAGUGUGACGUCUUUUUAAUAAUUUAAAAAAAAAAAAACGCGACGCGACGCGGUCAGAACGCGCCCGAGCGAUUGUCACUAGGGACUCAGUUUCAAAUUUUAAAUGUCUCCUUAGAUGGUAAAAAAUUAUUAUUAUUAUUAUUAUUAUGAUUAUUAUUAUUAAAAAAAAAAGAAACCAAAAUAGACCAGUGAAUUUGUGUUUUUAUAUAGUGAUAUAAAUCAUAUAGGACCUUAUCUGUGUCAGUGUACAUUUCUCCCGCCAUUUUUUCACCCGUGUGGACAUUGUGUACAUUUUUUUCGGUCGGCGUAUAAUUGUUGGCGGUCUAAAUUGCCUUUAUUCCUUGUUUUUUUUUUAUUGUUGUUUUUUUUUUUGGGUUCUGUGCCAAAAUUUUAGUAGAAAUUUCGACCGCCCCAACCACCCGACAUAUAGUGAACAAACCUGUACGUUUAUUAAUUAAAUUAUUGUAAUAAUUCAGUUUUUCGAUGAAUGAAAACCGAAGUAAAACAAAAAAAUGUCAUUAUUGUUGUUUAUAUGUAUGUUAAUUUUACAAGAAAAUGUUAACCCUGUUUUUACAUAGAGAGCAUUUUUAUAUUUAUUUUUUUUUUUUUUGUUAUAUUUAUAACUUUAUCCGGUCAGCCAGUUUUGUUAAUUAGUGCAAUUAUUAGUUAUUAUCGCCUAUUAGGAUACACACGUCGGUCUUUAUUUUUCAGCUUAGAAUAUUUUGGAAGCCCUGUAUAUUACGAUGAAUGUUUACAAUCAGACCUUUUUUAGCUCUGUGCAAUUAUUAUUAUUAUUAUUAUUUUUUUUUAAUAAAUAGGUUUUGACGUCCGUAUUUUUUUAUUUUUGUUCUUGUUUUGGUUCGUUGGGAGUACUUUGAGGAGUAGCAAACUCACUUGUCAGGCUUAUAACUUUACUUCUAAGCCUUAGAUGGGCUUGUUUAUCAUUUUAAUAGUUGCUUUAGGAUGUUCCCUGGGUUUUAUUGAAAGAAUGAAGGAAAUCCAUGCAAUAGAAUUUUUUUUAUUCAAUUUCAGGAAUCCCAUAGGUAAAUCUUAGGUAACAUGACUUAUAACUUUACUUCUACUGCUCAUGUUUUCAUGAUUUUUAUCUUAAAACGUUUUUUGAACUGUUCUUUAGCUUUCAGUGAAAGAAUCAUCAAAAUCCACGCACCGGAAGUUUUUUUAUUCAAUUUUUGGAAAGUUAUGUCUAGUGUUUGCAAGGGAAAUUGAGUCAGUUUUGGGUAACUUGGGUCAUAUGUGUUGGUCAGAUCGACUUCAUUUUUAUUUUAAAACAUUAUCUGAAUUUAUUUUUAACUUUUAUUUAAAGAAUCAAGAAAAUCCAUGGAAUAGAAACUUUUUGAUGCAAGUUUUUGUAAGUCAUGUCUAGUUUUUACUCAGAAACCCCAGUAUUCUUGGGUAAAUUGGCCCAUAUCUUCACUUCGACUGCCCAUAUUUUUAUGAUUUUUAUUUUAAACGAUUCCUUGGAUAGUUUUUUAGCUUUCAAUGAAAAAACCAUUAAAUUUCGUUGACUAGAAAACAUUUUAUUCAAUUUUUUGAAAGUUGGGUCUAGUGUACAUGAAGAAUUAACCAGUAUUCCCAGAUAACUUAGCUCAUAACUUUAUUCCUAUUGCUCAUAUUUGCAUGAUUUUUCUCUUAAAAGCUUCUUUGCCCUAUUCUUCAGCUUUUAGUAAACAAUUCAUUAAAAUCUUUGGACUAAAAAAUGGUUAUUCCAUCUUUUGAAAUUUGGGUGUAGUGUCUACUUGGACAAAUACCCAGUACUCCCAAAUACCCAGUACAGCUAUAUUUGGAUGAUUUUUCUUUUAAAAGUUUCUUUGCACUAUUCUUAGCUUUCAGUAGAUAAGUCAUUAAAAUCCUUGUACUAGAAAAUUUUUUAUUCUAUCUUUUGAAAAUUGGGUCUAGUGUCUACUUAGAAAAUUAACCAGUAUUCCUGGGCAAUUUGAUCGAUACCUUCACUCCUACUGCUCAUAUUUUCAUGAUUUUUUUUUUUAAUUCGGAGCAAUAUUCGUCAGCUUUCAGUACAAAAAUUCAUCAAAAUCCUUAAAUCAAAAAAAUUUUUAUUAAAUUUUUAAAAAAAUUUAAUCUAGGGUCUACUUGGACAAGAACCCAGUAGUCGCAGAUAACUUCGCCCAUAACUUCUUUCCUACUGCUUAUAUUUGCAUGAUUUUUCUUUUAAAAGCUUCUGUGCACUAUUCUACAUCUUUCAAUAAAAAAAAUCAUCACAAUACUUGACGCAAACAAUUAUUUAUUUAUUCCAUUUUUGAAGAAAACUUGAUUUCUAACAUGCUCAAAUAGGUUAGAAUUUUACUGUUAAAGCCCCCUAAGACAUUCUUUAACUUCUACAAAUUAUAAUAAGGCGAAAACUUAAAUAAUAUGAUGACUUUUACACUCCUCACUGUAUCCUCCUUCAACCAAAACCUAUGGCAGUCAAAACAGUUUUUUUUUUCAUAAUUGCAUUGGACUAUUGAACCACAAUCCAGCCUCCUCAAUAUGGGGGACGUUUGACUAUAAUUUAAUCUGCCCCUCUUUUCCUCCCGCCCCCUCCUCCCUUUUUAGCGUUGUUUUUGUAAAGAGUACUUAAAAGGUAGUAAAUGAAUCGCAGAAUAAAUACAAAAAUAUACGUAAGAUAACUUACUAAACUAAAAACAAAAAAAAAACCAGUGGAAAGAAAUAACUUAUGUGGAUUUGUCUUUUUUAUUAUUCGAAUUAAAUGGCGCUGUAUAGUAAAAUCUAUAAAUAUUUUCCCUAUCUCUCUCUUUUGUUAAUUUUAAGUACUGUAUUAGCUGUAGCGGCUUUUUUUAGGACAUAUUUUAAUGUGUAUUCAAGCAGCCUCGUCUAAAGUAGGGAUUUUACGUAAAGAUCCCCCGUAAAGAGGGGGUGCGUAAAAAUUAUACUUUUCCGGCUGCCGAUCUCUGAAAAACUUAAGCUCAAAUGUGGAAAACGGUUCAGCUGACGUUUAUUAUACAGUGUCGUUUAAAAUAAAAACUGUACUAAGGAAUAAAAGUGUUAUAUGGUA
rnacentral:misc_RNA from 1 species